rnacentral:rRNA from 1 species
GAGUUUGAUCCUGGCUCAGGAUGAACGCUAGCUACAGGCUUAACACAUGCAAGUCGAGGGGUAGCAUGAAAGUUUGCUUGCAAACUUUUGAUGGCGACCGGCGCACGGGUGAGUAACACGUAUCCAACCUGCCUCAUACUCGGGGAUAGCCUUUCGAAAGAAAGAUUAAUACCCGAUGUCAUAGUCCUACCGCAUGAUGGGAUUAUUAAAGAAUUUCGGUAUGGGAUGGGGAUGCGUUCCAUUAGUUAGUUGGCGGGGUAACGGCCCACCAAGACAACGAUGGAUAGGGGUUCUGAGAGGAAGGUCCCCCACAUUGGAACUGAGACACGGUCCAAACUCCUACGGGAGGCAGCAGUGAGGAAUAUUGGUCAAUGGACGAGAGUCUGAACCAGCCAAGUAGCGUGAAGGAUGACUGCCCUAUGGGUUGUAAACUUCUUUUAUAUGGGAAUAAAAUGUUCCACGUGUGGGAUUUUGUAUGUACCAUAUGAAUAAGGAUCGGCUAACUCCGUGCCAGCAGCCGCGGUAAUACGGAGGAUCCGAGCGUUAUCCGGAUUUAUUGGGUUUAAAGGGAGCGUAGGUGGAUUGUUAAGUCAGUUGUGAAAGUUUGCGGCUCAACCGUAAAAUUGCAGUUGAAACUGGCAGUCUUGAGUACAGUAGAGGUGGGCGGAAUUCGUGGUGUAGCGGUGAAAUGCUUAGAUAUCACGAAGAACUCCGAUUGCGAAGGCAGCUCACUGGACUGCAACUGACACUGAGGCUCGAAAGUGUGGGUAUCAAACAGGAUUAGAUACCCUGGUAGUCCACACAGUAAACGAUGAAUACUCGCUGUUUGCGAUAUACAGUAAGCGGCCAAGCGAAAGCAUUAAGUAUUCCACCUGGGGAGUACGCCGGCAACGGUGAAACUCAAAGGAAUUGACGG